rnacentral:rRNA from 1 species
CUUUCAACAACGGAUCUCUUGGCUCUCGCAUCGAUGAAGAACGCAGCGAAAUGCGAUAAGUAAUGUGAAUUGCAGAAUUCAGUGAAUCAUCGAAUCUUUGAACGCACCUUGCGCUCCUUGGUAUUCCGAGGAGCAUGCCUGUUUGAGUGUU